CCCUUCCCCUCCCUCCCUCGCAACCCUCCUCAGAUCCCGCCGCCCCUCCGCCGCCGCCGCCUCCCACCUCCACUGCUGCCGCUUCUCCAGAUCCAAGCGCCGCGCCCGCCGUCCCCCUCUGUUCCCACGCCCUUGCCGAUUCGCUCGUCACCGCCGCUCCUCGUUGACCAAGGGUGUGGGUGCGGCCGCAUCCUCGUCGAUCCCUCCCUACGAGCGCGUGUUGGGGCUGGGGGCCAUGGUUGCCUUCCUGCUCUUGGUGGUGAUGCUGCCGGUGGCCGGACUGCAUGUGGAGGUGGGGAGACGGGCGGUGUUCGCCAAGCUCAGCGAUGGCGGCCGCGCCUCGGGUGAGGUCGUGUCCUCCUCGUUCUCAGAUCGACAAGGGCUCCCGCGCGCCUGGGUCGCGAUGUGUGGUCAAGCUUGACCCCCUCUUGUUUGAGGAUUGCGUCCACGCCGGAGAAAACAUCUACUGGCACAUCGGCAAGUUCGGCCACAUGCUUGCACGCUAGAUUUCUCCUCCCUAGCCUGGCCAUCUCCUCACCUCACCCGCCCUCCUCCUCGCCAUCCCCGCCCGGCGCCAAACCAUGGGGGCCUGGCCGGAACAGGAUCCAUCCAUGGCAGGCCUAGGUCCGACAGCCUCCUUGGCUUCGUGCUGCAAGGCGGCGCUGCAGGGAGCGGGCCGCUCGAGCCAGGCCAGCGCAUGCGUACCACUCGCCCGCGCCUGAGCCGCUUGCCUGCCUUACACGACUGGGAUCUAUGGUCUUUGCUUGGUCAGAGAAUUGCAGAUCUUUUUCCCCUGACUCUUUCUCUCUCUGAUAUGUCACCCAGUAGGAUUCAUUUGUGCUGCUGUGGUAAAGAAAUGAAGAAAAACCUUUCCUUAAAUCCCUGUAUGCAUGUUCCUUUCGAUUUCAUAGUGUGUAUAUCUGUAUGGUGAUUUUGUUCUCUUUUUACUACGUAUUUUGGAUGCCACUGAUGCCGUGUGAACAAACUGAGCCUAUGUUACUUUUCAGUUUUCACUUUUGUAGCAUUUCUAUAGAUGGCUUUUGAAGUAAAUAAUUUCUCCACUUCUAUAGAUGCAUUUUGAACAAUCUGAGCAUUUGUUUUGAACAAUAGAACCUGAAUUUCUAUCUACUGCAUCUGGUCUAUCGCAAAACAUUGCUCCACGAACUAGUAUGUGUUCUCUGGUUAAGUGAUUCCAUUUACCUGAUAGCAGUUAUUUACAGAUAAUUAUAGGUUGUUUUAGACCUUGUGUUUUUAUUGCCACUAUCAAAUGCACAUGCUUUAUCUUCAGUGAGUGAGUUUUUUCUGAAACUAUAGGUUUAUUUGUUGGCUGAGGGAUAUAACUAGAGCUUUAUUUCCUUUUUCUCUUAUAAAUGAAUAAAUGAGUUUUAUUUGUGAAUAUGACUAGUGGAGAGUUUAUGUUCAAAAUUCACCUUAGCAGCUAUGUCACUUUGUUUGGACUUAAAUCUGAUGAGAUGACUGAACUAAUCAUAAGUAUUUCUUUUCCCUUGUCAGGUUGCAUUACUACCGAGCAAGCUGAGCGUGAAAACCUAUGUGAUCUAUUGUUGGUGUUGCAGGUCUUGUUGGUGCUCUCGAACAUUUGCUCCUUUGCUUCUGGAAUCAAAUUGCUACUUGUAUCAUGUGCUUGGAUUUUUGGUGCUGUAGGUCCUGCUGGUGUGUAUUUUGGGUUGUUGUAUCUCUUUUCAAUGUAAACAUGAGAUUGUAUCCCUUAUUUUGGGCUGCUAAAAUUUUAUAUGUAUUUUAGGCUGUAAUGAUCAUUCUAGUGUAUGGUACGAGAAAUUGGAUUGAAUUCUGGUGUAUGGUAUGAGAAAUUGGAUUGAAUUGAUGAGCUCAAUUUUUAA